GACGAACGCUGGCGGCGUGCCUAAUACAUGCAAGUCGAACGGAUUGCCUUCGGGCAGUUAGUGGCGGACGGGUGAGUAACACGUGAGUGACCUGCCCUGCAGUGGGGAAUAACUCUGCGAAAGCAGAGCUAAUACCGCAUUCGCUUACGCUUUCAUUAGUGUAAGUAAAGCUCCAUGCGCUGCAGGAGGGGCUUGCGGCCGAUUAGCUAGUCGGUGGGGUAAGGCCUACCGAGGCCACGAUCGGUAGCUGGUCUGAGAGGAUGACCAGCCACACUGGGACUGAGACACGGCCCAGACUCCUACGGGAGCAGCAAGUAAGGAAUNUUCCANAAUGGUCGCAAGACUGAUGGAGCAACGCCGCGUG
rnacentral:rRNA from 1 species